rnacentral:rRNA from 1 species
CCUACGGGAGGCAGCAGUGAGGAAUAUUGGUCAAUGGGCUUACGCCUGAACCAGCCAAGUCGCGUGAGGGAAGACUGCCCUAUGGGUUGUAAACCUCUUUUGUCAGGGAGCAACGCCGGCUACGUGUAGCCGGACUGAGAGUACCUGAAGAAAAAGCAUCGGCUAACUCCGUGCCAGCAGCCGCGGUAAUACGGAGGAUGCGAGCGUUAUCCGGAUUUAUUGGGUUUAAAGGGUGCGUAGGCGGAAUGCCAAGUCAGCGGUAAAAUCGCGGGGCUCAACCUCGCUCCGCCGUUGAAACUGGCGUGCUUGAGUGGGCGAGAAGUAUGCGGAAUGCGUGGUGUAGCGGUGAAAUGCAUAGAUAUCACGCAGAACUCCGAUUGCGAAGGCAGCAUACCGGCGCCCAACUGACGCUGAAGCACGAAAGCGUGGGUAUCGAACAGGAGUAGAUACCCCGGUAGUC